UGGGGAGUGACGUCAAAUCAUCAUGCCCUUUAUGUCCUGGGCUACACACGUGCUACAAUGGUCGGUACAACGAGAAGCAAGUCAGCGAUGGCAAGCAAAUCUCUAAAAGCCGAUCCCAGUUCGGAUUGCAGGCUGCAACUCGCCUGCAUGAAGUCGGAGUUGCUAGUAAUCGCGGAUCAGAAUGCCGCGGUGAAUGCGUUCCCGGGUCUU
rnacentral:rRNA from 1 species